rnacentral:rRNA from 1 species
GAGUUUGAUCCUGGCUCAGGACUAACGCUGGCGGCGUGCCUAACACAUGCAAGUCGAGCGGGGUAGCAAUACCCAGCGGGCAGACGGGUGAGUAACGCGUAAAUAACGUGCCCCUUUGUUUGGGAUAGCUGGCCGAAAGGCCAGGUAAUACCGGAUGUGGUUCUCGAGAGACAUCUCUUGGGAAAGAAAGCAGCAAUGCGCAAGGGGGAUCGGUUUGCGACCUAUCAGCUAGUUGGCGAGGUAACGGCUCACCAAGGCUUCGACGGGUAGCCGGUCUGAGAGGAUGAUCCGCCACACUGGGACUGAGACACGGCCCAGACUCCUACGGGAGGCAGCAGUGGGGAAUUUUGGACAAUGGACGAAAGUCUGAUCCAGCCAUGCCGCGUGAGUGAAGAAGGCCUUCGGUU